rnacentral:rRNA from 1 species
UAGGGAAUCUUCCACAAUGGACGAAAGUCUGAUGGAGCAACGCCGCGUGAGUGAUGAAGGGUUUCGGCUCGUAAAACUCUGUUGUUGGAGAAGAACAGGUGUCAGAGUAACUGUUGACAUCUUGACGGUAUCCAACCAGAAAGCCACGGCUAACUACGUGCCAGCAGCCGCGGUAAUACGUAGGUGGCAAGCGUUGUCCGGAUUUAUUGGGCGUAAAGCGAGCGCAGGCGGUUUCUUAGGUCUGAUGUGAAAGCCUUCGGCUUAACCGGAGAAGUGCAUCGGAAACCAGGAGACUUGAGUGCAGAAGAGGACAGUGGAACUCCAUGUGUAGCGGUGAAAUGCGUAGAUAUAUGGAAGAACACCAGUGGCGAAGGCGGCUGUCUGGUCUGUAACUGACGCUGAGGCUCGAAAGCAUGGGUAGCGAACAGGAUUAGAUACCCUUGGUAGUCCAUGCCGUAAACGAUGAGUGCUAAGUGUUGGAGGGUUUCCGCCCUUCAGUGCUGCAGCUAACGCAUUAAGCACUCCGCCUGGGGGAGUACGACCGCAAGGUUGAAAC